AGAUUGAACGCUGGCGGCAGGCCUAACACAUGCAAGUCGAGCGGAAACAGAGAGUAACUUGUUACUUUGCUGUCGAGCGGCGGACGGGUGAGUAAUGCUUGGGAAACUGCCCAGUCGAGGGGGACAACCAUUGGAAACGAUGGCUAAUACCGCAUACGCCCUACGGGGGAAAGAAGGGGACUCUUCGGAGCCUUUCGCGAUUGGAUGUGCCCAAGUGGGAUUAGCUAGUUGGUGAGGUAAAGGCUCACCAAGGCAACGAUCCCUAGCUGGUUUGAGAGGAUGAUCAGCCACACUGGAACUGAGACACGGUCCAGACUCCUACGGGAGGCAGCAGUGGGGAAUAUUGCACAAUGGGCGCAAGCCUGAUGCAGCCAUGCCGCGUGUAUGAAGAAGGCCUUCGGGUUGUAAAGUACUUUCAGCGAGGAGGAAAGGUUACGUGUUAAUAGCACGUAGCUGUGACGUUACUCGCAGAAGAAGGACCGUCUAACUCCGUGCCAGCAGCCGCGGUAAUACGGAGUGUCCGAGCGUUAAUCGGAAUUACUGGGCGUAAAGCGUACGCAGGCGGUUUGUUAAGCGAGAUGUGAAAGCCCCGGGCUCAACCUGGGAACUGCAUUUCUAACUGACAAACUAGAGUUUUGUAGAGGGUGGUAGAAUUUCAGGUGUAGCGGUGAAAUGCGUAGAGAUCUGAAGGAAUACCAGUGGCGAAGGCGGCCACCUGGACAAUAACUGACGCUCAUGUACGAAAGCGUGGGGAGCAAACGGGAUUAGAUACCCCGGUAGUCCACGCCGUAAACGAUGUCAACUAGCCGACUGAAGCCUUGAGCUUUGGGUGGCGCAGCUAACGCAUUAAGUUGACCGCCUGGGGAGUACGGCCGCAAGGUUA
rnacentral:rRNA from 1 species